ACUACAACAAAGCAAGAGAAAGAGUGGCAAGGGCAGAAGAAACCUCGCAAGUUGAAUCAGAUGUGGAAGAGAUCCAGCCGAGGAAAAGAAGGCAACCUAUUCGGUUCAUUGAAUCCUCCAGUGAUUCUGAAGAUGAGCAUCAAAAACAUCCAUCACCACCAAAAAUAAACACUUCCAGAUUAAGCAUGAUCUCGCCAGUGACACCAUCUACACCUCAGCGGUCAGUAGAGCAAAUUGGACGACAAUUUACAACAGGU